UUGCUCUUCAACGAGGAAUACCUAGUAAGCGUGAGUCAUCAGCUCGCGUUGAAUUCGUCCCUGCCCUUUGUACACACCGCCCGUCGCUACUACCGAUUGAAUGGCUUAGUGAGGCCUUCGGAUUGGCUUCUGGGAGCCGGCAACGGCACCUAGUCGCUGAGAAGUUUGACGAACUUGGUCAUUUAGAGGAAGUAAAAGUCGUAACAAGGUUUCCGUAGGUGAACCUGCGGAAGGAUCAUUAAUGAAUUUUAGGACGUUCUUUUUAGAAGUCCGACCCUUUCAUUUUCUUACACUGUGCACACACUUCUUUUUUACACACACUUUUAACACCUUAGUAUAAGAAUGUAAUAGUCUCUUAAUUGAGCAUAAAUAAAAACAAAACUUUCAGCAACGGAUCUCUUGGCUCUCGCAUCGAUGAAGAACGCAGCGAAUUGCGAUAAGUAAUGUGAAUUGCAGAAUUCAGUGAAUCAUCGGAUCUUUGAACACACCUUGCACUCUUUGGUAUUCCGAAGAGUAUGUCUGUUUGAGUGUCAUGAAACUCUCAACCCCCCUAUUUUGUAAUGAGAUGGGUGUGGGCUUGGAUUAUGGUUGUCUGUCGGCGUAAUUGCCGGCUCAACUGAAAUACACGAGCAACCCUAUUGAAAUAAACGGUUUGACUUGGCGUAAUAAUUAUUUCGCUAAGGACGCUUUCUUCAAAUAUAAGAGGUGCUUCUAAUUCGCUUCUAAUAGCAUUUAAGCUUUAGACCUCAAAUCAGUCAGGACUACCCGCUGAACUUAAGCAUAUCAAUAAGCGGAGGA
rnacentral:rRNA from 1 species